rnacentral:lncRNA from 1 species
GGAGGAGUUCCGGUGUGAGCACUUCCGCGGGCAGUUGAAAAGAGCUGGUUUGCAUGCAGUCUUCUCUGUGUGUUUUCUGGUUUGCGGAGUUUGUUGUGGCGCGGGCGGUAGGUUGAAGAAGGUCCUUUCCAUUCCUGUGACUCUGGGAUUUGCCAACAUCCUGAUGAAGUGCACCAUGUUGUUCUUCACUCACCUGGGAAUGGAAGUAGUCAGAACUUUAAGUUGUAUACUGUCUAGUUGGUGGCCAGAAUUUUAACCUCUACCGUGUGGUGACUGUCUCAUCAGAUGGAGCAAAAGAUGAUCCUGAAUCAAAAACAAAAUGAAAUCAUGGUGAUCACCACAACCACCAUUUCACCCUGUAGGAAAAACCAAAACCAUAUCUAGUCUGGAUAGACUAGAUCUAGAGUUCUAGACCGGGGGUCAGCAAACUAUGGCCUGUGGGUCAAAUCUGGGCCAUCAUCUGUUUUUGUAAAUAAAGUUUUAUUGGAACAUAGCCACUCUUAUUUGUUUCUAUAUUGUCUAUGAUGCUUCUGUGCUACAACAGCAGAGUUGAGUAGCUGAAACAGAGACAGUAUGGCUUGCAAAGCUUAGAAUAUUUACCUUCUGACCCUUUACAGAAAAAAAAAAUUGCCCAUCCCUGUUCUAGACAAUAUUUAACGGCCUCUUCCAUGACCUGUCAAUGAGGACCAAAAGGUAAAUGAGAAUGGAAAAUUCCACUCUUGCCUGAAGGACCUUACUCAUGCUCUCAGGUAUUUAAAC